rnacentral:lncRNA from 1 species
UACAAUAUAUGAUGCUUCAGUUUCAAUUUUUAUGCAGACUACUCUUUUUUCUUUCAUAACGUACGAACCAUCGUAUUUUCCAUUCCCCUGGACCAGGGUUCCUUUAGUCGUAAAAUUAGGCACGUUUUGAAGUUUAUUAGUUUUCAAUGCUGUCUCAUGAUCGACUUCUAUAAUUCGUAGCUUGUGAAAAUUUCUGAUUUUUGUGCUUACCUGAUAUUAAUAUAGUGAAUUACAUACUUUAUGCAAAAUACUCUCAUAACGUACAAACCAUCGUGUUUUCCAUUCCCUUGGAACAGGGUUCUUUUUGUGGUAAAGUUAAGCACGUUUUGAAGUUUAUUAGUUCUCAAUGCUGCCUCAUGAUCGACUUCUAUAAUGCGUAGCUUGUGAAAGUUUCUGAUUUUUGUGCUUUCCUGAUAUUAGUAUAUUGAAAUACAUUUAUGAUUUCAUAGUAUUUGUAUACCAUCCUUGUGCUUUCUGAAUUGCUUUUCUACGUUAAGGUAUAAUGUAUAAGAUACUACACGAAAUAAAGAAAACUGGAUCCCUUUUUAUUUGUUUCCAGUUAUUUUUGGUGAUGACACUAAAUUUAGGUUUAAACAGGGGAUCCAUCUAUUGAGUCUGUUUGCACGGGAUUACUUUUUCCCUGCCUUUUUAUGUUCUUCUGCCCCUAGCCUGUCUAUAUCUUUGACAUCGGUGAUUACCUUCAAAAUUAAUGCAAAUAAUGUUGGGCUGUUGGCUGGUCUUAUAUUAGUUGAUUUUGUUAGCUUGCUCACAUCAUACCUAUCGUCAUUAACUAGAGAUGCUUCAAGUAUAAAAUUUUUCAUUAAGAAAUAUGGUGUAGAUAAGAUGCAUAAAAGCUGAGCCUAGCACUGACAGAUUUGAUGGUGAAGAGAGAUGCUUAUUGCAUAGAAAUUAAUAAUUACACUAAUGGGUAUCCUAGAUGAGCGUCUGACAUUAAUGGAUUCCAAUGGUUUGCUGCUAUUGUGAGAUAAAUGUGGCUGUGAUUCGUGGGAGUCAUUUGCAGUAUCAUUUAUGACUGCAACAGGUGGUGUAUCAGAUAAAUGAUAGCUGGGUGUAUCAACUGGAAAUUUUGGUAAUACAAUGUUAGGAAAUGGAUCAAUGAAGUCUGAAUUUUGGGAAAUGGAAUGGAAAGGAAAAACUUGUUCAUGAAAUAUAACAUCUUUGGAAAUUAGAAAGGUUUUAGACACAAUAUCAUAAAGUCUAUAUCCUUUUAUUCCUGGGGGAUAACCAAGGAAGAUACAAGCC